rnacentral:rRNA from 1 species
AACUGGGUCUAAUACUGGAUGCUACAUGUCACCGCAUGGUGGUGUGUGGAAAGGGUUUACUGGUCUUGGAUGGGCUCACGGCCUAUCAGCUUGUUGGUGAGGUAAUGGCUCACCAAGGCGACGACGGGUAGCCGGCCUGAGAGGGUGACCGGCCACACUGGGACUGAGACACGGCCCAG